UACGUAGGGGGCUAGCGUUGUCCGGAAUCAUUGGGCGUAAAGCACGCGUAGGCGGCCCGGUAAGUCCGCUGUGAAAGUCCAGGGCUCAACCCUGGAAAGCCGGUGGAUACUGCCGGGCUAGAGUCCGGAAGAGGCGAGUGGAAUUCCUGGUGUAGCGGUGGAAUGCGCAGAUAUCAGGAGGAACACCAAUGGCGAAGGCAGCUCGCUGGGACGGUACUGACGCUGAGGCGCGAAAGCGUGGGGAGCGAACAGG
rnacentral:rRNA from 1 species